rnacentral:rRNA from 1 species
AGAACCAGCCAUAUCUUAGAAACUAAGCAGGGUCGGGCCUGGUUAGUACUUGGAUGGGAGAUCACCUAGGAAGACCAGGUGCUGGGACAA